UCCCUCUUAGCUCAGUUGGUAGAGCGCAGCACUAGUAAUGCUGAGGUCAGUUGUUCAAAUCAGCUAGCGGGAA
rfam:Fibulorhizoctonia sp. CBS 109695 unplaced genomic scaffold FIBSPscaffold_808, whole genome shotgun sequence.